UACGGAAGGCAGCAGUGGGGGAUAUUGCACAAUGGGCGCAAGCCUGAUGCAGCCAUGCCGCGUGUAUGAAGAAGGCCUUCGGGUUGUAAAGUACUUUCAGUCGUGAGGAAGGUGUUAAGGUUAAUAACCUUAGCAAUUGACGUUAGCGACAGAAGAAGCACCGGCUAACUCCGUGCCAGCAGCCGCGGUAAUACGGAGGGUGCGAGCGUUAAUCGGAAUUACUGGGCGUAAAGGGCACGCAGGCGGUUAAUUAAGUUGGAUGUGAAAUCCCCGGGCUUAACCUGGGAAUGGCAUUCAAGACUGGUUAGCUAGAGUCUUGUAGAGGGGGUAGAAUUCCAUGUGUAGCGGUGAAAUGCGUAGAGAUGUGGAGGAAUACCGGUGGCGAAGGCGGCCCCUGGACAAAGACUGACGCUCAUGUGCGAAAGCGUGGGGAGCAAAC
rnacentral:rRNA from 1 species